rnacentral:lncRNA from 1 species
UUUUGCUUUUCCCCCAACAGAAGACCCAAAGCCUACUCCUCGGCUCAACUUCCUUUGAAGCUACAAUGCGCCCCCUCCCCUGAAAAUCACCCCGCCCGCCCGCCCCGGGCGGCCCUCUGCGCGCCCGCGGGGGCUCCCUCCGCCCCGGCACAGCCCCGCACGCCGCACUUCUCCAACUUCGCGGCCGCCCGCGGCGGCCCUUCUGCGCGCCCGCGGGGGCUCCCUCCGCCCCGGCACAGCCCCGCACGCCGCACUUCUCCAACUUCGCGGCCGCCCGGGGGAGCCGAGGCGCCGGCCCUUACCUUGCCCUCCGGAGCUGGGGGAUCUCGCUCUACACCAGCAGCGGCUCGCGAGCCAGCGACAGCCACGGAGAGACGCGCCUUCGCCCCCGACCGCCGCUGCCCAUCUUCCUCGGCUCCGCUUCGGGACCGGGGGGAUCACUCGGAAGCGCGCGCAGACCCAGAAGAAGGGCCUCCUGGAUCGUUGGCGGAUGAAGGAUUUGAUGAACUGGCUUCCAAUACACGACGCCAGCAAGAGGUCACUGGCCGCCCGAUUGUGUCUGCACAGGGAGACGCUGUUGGUGGUUUGCAAAACAAGCGCUAAACUAGUGCACUGAUGUAGUGGGCGGAGCCUGGGGUUAUUCAUUGAGAGCGUGGAGUCUUCCUAAGGGUGAGUGGCUUGGGCGGCAGGUGAAGUUGAAUAAAGCAAUUUUCCAUCAUUUUCUCUACUCUUCUGCAUUUUUCUUUUA